GGGGGAAAGGGCGGUUGGUGGCCAGGGUGGGGUUGGGGGGAGGAAAAGGGGAGGGGGAUAAAGGAUGUGUUUCCCUUAAGACCAAGUAAGGACAGCAUGCUCGGAGAGCUCGAACCUGUUGCCCUGGUGGAAGGGGGGCACCCUAGAAUUGCCGAGCCGCAGCGUGGAGGCCGUGGAAAGGGCAGUGACAUCCUGGUGGUAGCACUAAUUCCACAGCCUCUACAAACAUGCGUGACCAGCCAUGUUCUCCAAUAAAGACUGAUGACUAAUAGAUCUGUGAGACCAGGAGCAGAUGGAAAGUUCAGCAGACAGAAGUAGGGUGCAGCGUGAGGUGUCACCUUUACAACUGACAAGAAGCAGCAUCCCUUGGGAUGGGUUGGCGUGAGUCUAGAGAGACUCCAUCAGCCACAUAGAACACCAGCCAAUGUGCACACCACAUACAGCUGACCUGGAACUAGCCGUUGAUUCCAGACACACCACAGCUUGCUACUCCUUGAAUCACUUGAGGAUUUUUCCUUUAGUCUUGAAAACGUUAUUACAUGAUGGCAUACUGGAGACAUUCUAAGCACUUGACUAAUGCAAACUAUUGGAAGCAUCUUGGUAAACUUAUGUGGCAGGUGCUAAGAACAGAUCUCAUAGCUAUGAAAUGUAAACCUAGGCAGGGUGAGUUCAUGCUCCUAAUCACAGUGCUUCUCAGCUAAAUCACAUGCAUUCUUCAAGACUUGAGUCUCAU